rnacentral:misc_RNA from 1 species
UUUCCGUAGGUGAACCUGCGGAAGGAUCAUUAUUGUAUAACCGAGGUCCGAGGUCUUUCGCUGACCCGAAAGGUCUUCCACGCCCCAGUGCCCUCACAUACAUUCAUCUCACCCCUAUGUGCACUACUACGUGGAUCCACCUUUGGCUAGUUCGUUGGCGGGCUUACGAUUCCACCUAAGCUUUGUAAGCAUAGUAGUAGGUAUUUUUUGUUUUUCCGUUCUAUCAUUCAAUACAACUUUCAACAAACGUUCUCUUGACUCUCGCACCGAUGAACAACC